rnacentral:rRNA from 1 species
GAUGAACGCUGACAGAAUGCUUAACACAUGCAAGUCAACUUGAAUUUGGGUUUUUAACUUAGGUUUGGGUGGCGGACGGGGGAGUAACGCUUAAAGAACUUGCCCCCCAGCUAGGGACAAAAUUUGGAACCGAAUGCUAAUACCUAAUAUUAUGAUAAUCGGGCAUCCUAUAAUUUGGAAAGCUAUAAGCCCUGUGAGAGAGCUUUGCGUCCCAUUAGCUAGUUGGAGAGGUAACGGCUCACCAAGGCGAUGAUGGGUAGCCGGCCUGAGAGGGUGAUCGGCAACAAGGGGACUGAGACACGGCCCUUACUCCUACGGGAGGCAGCAGUGGGGAAUAUUGGACAAUGGACCGAGAGUCUGAUCCAGCAAUUCUGUGUGAACGAUGAAGUUUUUCGGAAUGUAAAGUGCUUUCAGUUGGGAAGAAACAAAUGACGGUACCAACAGAAGAAGUGACGGCUAAAUACGUG